AACGAACGCUGGCGGCAUGCCUAACACAUGCAAGUCGAACGAGACCUCCGGGUCUAGUGGCGCACGGGUGCGUAACGCGUGGGAACCUGCCCUUAGGUUCGGAAUAACUCCCCGAAAGGGGUGCUAAUACCGGAUAAUGUCUUCGGACCAAAGAUUUAUCGCCUUUGGAUGGGCCCUCGUUGGAUUAGCUAGUUGGUAGGGUAAAAGCCUACCAAGGCGACGAUCCAUAGCUGGUCUGAGAGGAUGCUCAGCCACACUGGGACUGAGACACGGCCCAGACUCCUACGGAAGGCAGCAGUGGGGAAUAUUGGACAACGGGGGAAAGCCUGAUCCAGCAAUGCCGGGUGAGUGAUGAAGGCCGUAGGGUUGUAAAGCUCUUUUACCCGGGAUGAUAAUGACGGUACCGGGAGAAUAAGCACCGGCUAACUCCGUG
rnacentral:rRNA from 1 species